GAUGAACGCUAGCUACAGGCUUAACACAUGCAAGUCGAGGGGAAACGAUAUUGGAAGCUUGCUUCUGAUAGGCGUCGACCGGCGCACGGGUGAGUAACGCGUAUCCAACCUGCCCAUCACUUGGGGAUAACCUUGUGAAAGUAAGACUAAUACCCAAUGACGUCUCUAGAAGACAUCUGAAAGAGAUUAAAGAUUUAUCGGUGAUGGAUGGGGAUGCGUCUGAUUAGCUAGUUGGUGAGGUAACGGCCCACCAAGGCGACGAUCAGUAGCCGGACUGAGAGGUUGACCGGCACAUUGGGACUGAGAUACGGCCCAGACUCCUACGGGAGGCAGCAUGGGGAAUAUUGGGCGAAUAGGGCGGCAAGACCUCGACCCAACGCAACGACCGCC
rnacentral:rRNA from 1 species